UCGCCUGUUUAUCAAAAACAUAACUGUAGGGUUUAUCUAUAGCUAUUUCUGCUCCAUGUAUAAUAAAUAGCCGCAGUACCCUGACUGUGCUAAGGUAGCAUAAUCAAUAGGCUUAUAAUUUGGGUCUGGAAUGAAUGAAGCCAUGGGGGUCAACUGUCUCACCAGGACUAUUUGAAUUUUUUUAAAAAGUGCAAAAACUUUUAUUUAAUUAAUAGACGAGAAGACCCUAGAAAUUUUUUAAUCUAUUUUGUUGGGGCGACAAGGUAACAGUAAACUUGCCUUUUCAUAUUAGAAGUGUGAUCUACAGAACAAUGAAAUUACUCUAGGGAUAACAGCAUAAUUUCGUAAAGUUUGUGACCUCGAUGUUGGACUAGGAACUUUUAAGUUUAGAAGAAUUAAAAGAUCGCUCUGUUCGAGCGUAAUAUACCUACGUGAUCUGAGUUCAGACCGGA
rnacentral:rRNA from 1 species